rnacentral:rRNA from 1 species
UACGAAGGGGGCUAGCGUUGCUCGGAAUCACUGGGCGUAAAGCGCACGUAGGCGGCUUACUAAGUCAGGGGUGAAAUCCUGGAGCUCAACUCCGGAACUGCCUUUGAUACUGGUGAGCUUGAGUCCGGAAGAGGUGAGUGGAACUGCGAGUGUAGAGGUGAAAUUCGUAGAUAUUCGCAAGAACACCAGGGGCGAAGGCGGCUCACUGGUCCGGUACUGACGCUGAGGUGCGAAAGCGUGGGGAGCAAACAGG